rnacentral:misc_RNA from 1 species
UCCUGGUUAACCCAGGCAGUCUCAUUAGAGUCCCCACCUCGCGUGUUGGCAACUAAUGAUAAGGGUUGCGCUCGUUGCUGGACUUAACCAAACACCUCACGGCACGAGCUGACGACAGCCAUGCAGCACCUGUACAGAGACCCUUGCGGGAAAUGCCACUUCUGACAUCGUCCUCUGUAUUUCAAACCCGGGUAAGGUUCUUCGCGUUGCAUCGAAUUAAACCACAUGCUCCACUGCUUGUGCGGGCCCCCGUCAAUUCUUUUGAGUUUCACCCUUGCGAGCGUACUCCUCAGGCGGUAUACUUAUCGCGUUCGCUACGACACAAUCAGGGUUGAGCCCAAUUACAUCAAGUAUACAUCGUUUACGGCAAGGACUAC